GAAAAGAGUGAGCAGCCUGAAGGUCACACACAACUAAACUCGGUAACACUGAAAGCUAUGAAGAGACUGGGUGAAAGAGGGAAGACCCUCCAUCAUUUUGUUAGCACCAUCAAGCCCACCACAGUGAGAAACAAGAAGGGUUUAUCCUAUAUGGGACUCUCUGCACUUCCUGGACUUGGGUGGCUAUUUCCUUUCCCACGUUUGGAGUCUUGGAUCUUCUGCCAGCAUCCAUGAAACUGUUAAGAUCAGCUAUCAAUAGAAAUCGUAAUAUUUUCUUGCAACCCCAGUGAAUCAUGUUUCUUACAUUUGUGCUUGCUCUGGAGAUCUUGUACUGCAUUACACAGGGAUCUCUGCCUUACUGAGUGUUGACCGACCAACAAGCCUCACUGGCUGUACCUCAUCAAAGCUAGAGUAAACGUCUCACCAUGGGCUGGAAAGAAACACCGAAGAUGGCAGAC